AGCGAACGCUGGCGGCAGGCUUAACACAUGCAAGUCGAGCGGGCACCUUCGGGUUUCAGCGGCAGACGGGUGAGUAACACGUGGGAACGUACCCUUCGGUUCGGAAUAACGCUGGGAAACUAGCGCUAAUACCGGAUACGCCCUUAUGGGGAAAGGUUUACUGCGGAAGGAUCGGCCCGAGUCGGAUUAGCCAGAUGGUGGGGUAACGGCCUACCAAGGCGACGAUCAGUAGCUGGGCUGAGAGGAUGAUCAGCGACACUGGGACUGAGACACGGCGCAGACUCCUACGGGAGGCAGCAGUGGGGAAUAUUGGACAAUGGGCGCAAGCCUGAUGCAGCCAGGACGGGUGAGUGAUGAAGGUCUUAGGGUUGUAAAGCUCUUUUGUCCGGGACGAUAAUGACGGUACCGGAAGAAUAAGCCCCGGCUAACUUCGUG
rnacentral:rRNA from 1 species